rnacentral:lncRNA from 1 species
UGCUGUUUCCAAGCUAUGAAUUUCAUGAUUUAUUUGUCACUAUUCUCUAUUUUUCUGCUGUACACCGUGUUUGUGGGCUAUGGCAACCAAUCCUCUUGGGCUUUCUUUUGCUUUAAUUUGCAUAAACACAGGCAUCAUAUGAAUAUUCAGUGAGUGGCUUUGCAUUAAGUAAGUGCUCUUAAUCAGCUUUUCAGUUCUGUUUUAUUGGUUGCACGCACAGUCAGUUAUUUCAUCCAGAAAAUCUGAGGGCCCUACAAAGCUAACCAGAAACCCCAGAAAAUGCCAUUGCAAGUAAACAUGUCCAUUCACCAUUUAAAGUUCAUGCAGAUGUUCAGCUUCCAAAUGGAUGUUGUGAAAAGGGAAAAUAUAUGUUUCCUGGUGAUGCAGAGCAAUUGCGCAGAUAAUCUCAAGCAUGAUAUGCUGAUAUUUACCACCACCCAUUUUCGAAAAAUACCAUGCUUAUGUUGCAGAGGAAUAAGAUAUACCUUACCACUUCAGCAAGUCUAGCAUCCUGCCACCAUCAGUAACCGAUAUUUGAAUUUCCAGAAGAUAGUGGAAAAAGCAUCACCACCACUUGUAUAAUAAUGUACCUUUUCAGUUGUGCAGUGUUGUAUAUUGGCAAGUAAAUAGUAAACAGUUUGUAAAGAGUCAUGUUUCCUGUUGUUGCCAUAAUCUGAAUAGAACAGUCUGUAUAAUCAGUGUGAUCCAUCUCCUAUUAAGACCAGCCACCCACCAGAUAAAUAUUCUGAAGUUCUAGUCAACCCAGUUAUACUACUUAGACCAUGGACAGAACUCCCAGGGGGAGUGGAAGAUGCGAGUGUGGACUGAGGGCAGUACAUGCCCUGAGUGUCACCUGUUAGAGGUCA